AAAACUUCACAGUUCCUAUAUAGGUGACAGUGCUGUGUUUCUUUGCAGUAACUUCUGAUUCUCCAUAUAGUUUACAUACUGGGAAAAGGAAGUACAGCAAAUAACAAUAGCUUAAAUUAUGAGUAAACAUUAGAGCUGGGAAAAUUUUUCAUUCAAAAAAUAUUUUGGAAAGGGAGCCUCUGUCAACAUUUGUUUGAAUUUCUAAGUAGCUUUCAAUCAUACUUGUGUUCUUUUUGCUUGUUUGCAGAAGGAACAAGUUUUGAUGGAGGGUAUCCCCAGAAGUGAAUUACUACACUGUUUGAACAACUGCUUGAAUUUGGCAUAAAACUUGUGGUAAAAGUGGGGGAAUACCAUCUCUUCACUUGUACUUACACGAAUGAUUGUGAACAUGGUUUAAUUUGGAAUUGGGUAUAGCUGAAUUGGACUUGAGCAGAGCACACUUCAUUUUGAUUUGAGAUCUAGGCAUUGCGUGAUUUUUUUAUUGGAAUGAAUUCGGAUGUGUUGAUUUUUUUGACUUGGGUAAAUUUCUAUAGACACGAAUAUUCUCGAGUCUCGCAGUUUUUCAGUCUUGCAACUGAAAUUCUCUUAAAUUUUAAAAAUUAACAAGUAAAACCAAAAUCGUUAAGAUUACUUUUAAAAAAUGUGGUAGUUAAAUGAUGUUUGUUCCCUGCUCAAUAUGUUUUACUGUCCUGCAGCCGCAGCAUGAUUACUAUUACCCAUCUCAGAGGUUUUAAGAAGUUGAGACAAACGUUAAACACACUUGCCACGUAAAUGAAACAGCAUUGGGGGGCCUUCUGUGAAAACUUGUUCCUUUCAUUCUACCUCUUUAAAUAGUAAAUAUUGUUGUAGCACUGUUCUGUGCAUAACAAAAUCAAUUAACUAACAUAGAGCUACCAUACGGCAAGUCAAAAAAGAAUGUUGGUCCACACGUGAUCCACAGCAGUGGCAGGAAUUGAAUGUUUGGGAUGACUAGGACAGGGUACCUUAACCACUCUGCCAUGAGAUGGGAGGAUGUUGCUGGUGAGAAAAGAAAAUUAAAACAAAAGAGGCUUACACUUGAAAACGUACUUCUGUGAGCAUACAAGUUUUUAACCUUCC
rnacentral:lncRNA from 1 species